GCAUCCAGAAAGCAGAGCAGAGCUUCUGCUGGGCUUGUUUCCGUGGCAACAGCUUCACUGGCCUGUCUCGGGGAAACGAAAGGAAGAAGGGCAUGGAAGCUGCACAAGAAAACCAAUGCCCUUGACAGGGCUUAACUAUCCUAAAGAAGUGCGAUGCUACAUUCAAAGCGUGUUAGCAGUGUCCCUUCCGUGUGAAGUGAAGCCACAAGGAGACGAGCCUCCACGCAUCACGGAGCAUCACGGAGCAAGGGCCCUGCGCACCUGUGCAAAAACAGAUACGACCCCGUCACACUCCACACUCCUGAUUUCCCGCCUCCCAAGUCUCCUCCAGUCUCGCUCCCUUGUUUUACGUGUCCAACCCAGCACCCUCACCUAACUGCCUUGCAGUCAGCUGCUGGCAGCACAUUCCUCCACACCCUCUAGCCUUCACCUAGUCUGUUCCCUCUACCCAAAAUGCUCUUCCAUUUCCUUGCUACUGAACUAUUUCUACCCAUCCCCCGAAACUCCCUGUGACUCUCGCUGGCGCUGCCCCUCGCUGGGGCUGUCCUUUGCGCCCCGUAGCAUUUCAUCCUCCACCCCACCAGAGCAGAUAUGAUGCUACAGUGUAUUUGUCUACCUGUUCCUUCUUCCCAGAGUCCCAGAGUCUUUCAAGGAAGGGUGAGACACCCUACUCAUCUCUGUACCCCACCCCCAUCCCCAGCACCCAACUCUUGCAUCAGAUGCCGAAUGAAUGAAAUACUAUGGAGCAAGAAUGCAGGCAGUUCUUUUCAGAGAGAAAAUACUGAUAACAACCUUGCAUCUUGUGUUAAAAGGCCAAAAGGUUCUAUCUGUAAGAAGUGAAGGAAGCCAGUCCUUUCAAGAGCAGAUUUUGUUACAGAACGACAGGUCCAUUUCCACAGACUUAAGCGCUGUGCAAGUAUCCUCUUCCGACCGGGAAGCUGAAAAGCUUUUCCAAGGUUUUGGUCUCCUUGACAACAGCAGUGCCAGAGACAAGUAGGGAAAUAAUUAAAAAGUAUGUUCCCUUCGCCUCGAACUUCGCAAAUGUUUUUAAGCAAUAACGAACAGUCCACGCUCAGGGUGGACGGCGUCAGUAUGGACCGGGCCGAGGGCAAUGCAGGGACAUGCCAUCCUGUCCCCCCAUCCGGCGCCCCUCCUCCGAACGUGGAAGCCCAAGUGAAGGAGCCAAGCCCUCCACCCAGGACGACAUUCACCGCAGGAACCACAGCCCAUACAGGGCAGAUUCGCAACUGCACCUUCCAAGUGCCAGGUCCCACAGGUCAAACACUGCCGCGUGUAAUCCUCACAAGGGCUCUUUGAACACUUUGAGCUGGGGUGGCUUUCCAUGGUCUGUUUUGUUUUAACAGCUUUACUGUAUUCGUAUCUUUUAUUGUAAGCCUCCUCAAAUCCUUUCUGGAUUUAUGAUUUAUAAAUAAACAAUAAAUAAACACA